AUUGAACGCUGGCGGCAUGCCUUACACAUGCAAGUCGAACGGUAACAGGUCUUCGGAUGCUGACGAGUGGCGAACGGGUGUGUAAUACAUCGGAACGUGCCUAGUAGUGGGGGAUAACUACUCGAAAGAGUGGCUAAUACCGCAUGAGAUCUACGGAUGAAAGCAGGGGAUCGCAAGACCUUGUGCUACUAGAGCGGCCGAUGGCAGAUUAGGUAGUUGGUGGGAUAAAAGCUUACCAAGCCGACGAUCUGUAGCUGGUCUGAGAGGACGAUCAGCCACACUGGGACUGAGACACGGCCCAGACUCCUACGGGAGGAAGCAGUGGGGAAUUUUGGACAAUGGGCGAAAGCCUGAUCCAGCAAUGCCGCGUGCAGGAUGAAGGCCUUCGGGUUGUGAACUGCUUUUGUACGGAACGAAAAGCCCCGGGUUAAUACCCUGGGGUCAUGACGGUACCGUAAGAAUAAGCACCGGCUAACUACGUGCCAGCCGCCGCGGUAA
rnacentral:rRNA from 1 species